rnacentral:rRNA from 1 species
AGUGAACGCUGGCGGUAGGCCUAACACAUGCAAGUCGAACGGCAGCACAGUAAGAGCUUGCUCUUACGGGUGGCGAGUGGCGGACGGGUGAGGAAUACAUCGGAAUCUACUUUUUCGUGGGGGAUAACGUAGGGAAACUUACGCUAAUACCGCAUACGACCUACGGGUGAAAGCAGGGGAUCUUCGGACCUUGCGCGAUUGAAUGAGCCGAUGUCGGAUUAGCUAGUUGGCGGGGUAAAGGCCCACCAAGGCGACGAUCCGUAGCUGGUCUGAGAGGAUGAUCAGCCACACUGGAACUGAGACACGGUCCAGACUCCUACGGGAGGCAGCAGUGGGGAAUAUAGGACAAUGGGCGCAAGCCUGAUCCAGCCAUACCGCGUGGGUGAAGAAGGCCUUCGGGUUGUAAAGCCCUUUUGUUGGGAAAGAAAAGCAGCAGGUUAAUACCCCGCUGUUCUGACGGUACCCAAAGAAUAAGCACCGGCUAACUUCGG